rnacentral:rRNA from 1 species
AAACUCAAAUGAAUUGACGGGGACCCGCACAAGCAGCGGAGCAUGUGGUUUAAUUCGAAGCAACGCGAAGAACCUUACCAAGGCUUGACAUCCCCUUGACGCGCAUAGAAGUAUGCGUUCCCUUCGGGGCAAGGAGACAGGUGGUGCAUGGUUGUCGUCAGCUCGUGUCGUGAGAUGUUGGGUUAAGUCCCGCAACGAGCGCAACCCUUAUCAUUAGUUGCCAGCGCGUAAUGGCGGGAAUUCUAAUGAGACUGCCGGGGAUAACUCGGAGGAAGGUGGGGACGACGUCAAAUCAUCAUGCCCCUUAUGUCUUGGGCUACACACGUGCUACAAUGGCCGGUACAAAGGGCUGCAAACCCGUAAGGGGGAGCGAAUCCCAUAAAACCGGUCCCAGUUCGGAUCGUGGGCUGCAACCCGCCCACGUGAAGCCGGAGUUGCUAGUAAUCGCGAAUCAGCAUGUCGCGGUGAAUGCGUUCCCGGGUCUU